GAUGAACGCUAGCGGCAGGCCUAAUACAUGCAAGCUGAACGGUAAAUGUUGUAGCAAUACAAUAUGAGAGUAGCGUAAGGGUGCGUAACACGUAUGCAAUCUACCCGCAACAGGAGGAUAGCUCCCCGAAAGGGGAAUUAAUACUCCAUAAGAUCACGAGAAGGCAUCUGAUUGUGAUUAAACUCCAAGGGGUUGCGGAUGAGCAUGCGCAUGAUUAGUUAGUUGGCGGGGUAACGGCCCACCAAGACGAUGAUCAUUAGGGGAACUGAGAGGUUGAUCCCCCACACUGGCACUGAGAUACGGGCCAGACUCCUACGGGAGGCAGCAGUAGGGAAUAUUGGUCAAUGGGUGAAAGCCUGAACCAGCCAUGCCGCGUGCAGGAAGAAAGCCUUCUGGGUUGUAAACUGCUUUUAUCUGGGGGUAAAAUACCCGUGCGCGGGGAAUUGAAGGUACCAGAUGAAUAAGCCACGGCUAACUACGUGCCAGCCGCCGCCGUAAUAC
rnacentral:rRNA from 1 species